GUACGUCUUCAGGGCGGGGUGCAAUUCCCCACCGGCGGUAUACGGGGCGGCGAAAGCCUCUCGUGAGCCCGCGAGCGCCCGUGAACGCAGCUCGCUUUGCAAGUGCGAGCCACGCAACGGGGUCAGCAGAUCUGGUGAGAUGCCAGAGCCGACGGUCAUAGUCCGGAUGGAAGAAGAUGUGC
rnacentral:ncRNA from 1 species